rnacentral:lncRNA from 1 species
GUCGGAAAUAGGGUUGCGCAAUAUCGGAAAUCGUGCGAGUCUAGAGAGGAAUCGCAGGAAAUCAGGCUAGUCUAGAGAGGAAUCGCCUCGACGAUUUGCAAUAGUCGGUCAGAAAUAGGGCUGCGCCAUAUCGAAAAUCAGGCAAGUCUAGAGAGGAAUCGCCUCGACGAUUUGCAAUAGUAGGUCAGAAAUAGGGCUGCGCAAUAUCGAAAAUCAGGCAAGUCUAGAGAGGAAUCGCCUCAACGAUUUGCAAUAGUCGGUCUAGACUCAUCGAUUCUCGGCGAUUUGCAAUCGUAAAUUGGCGAUUUGCAAUGGUUGGUCUAGACUCAUCAGUUCUCGACGAUUUGCAAUCGUAAAUUGAGUAAAUCGGGCGCCCGUUCUUGGCGAUGUGCAAUCGUAAAUCGAGUAAAUCGUUACUCGGGCGAGUGGACAUGUGGUAGCCCCUAAAUUGAGUAAAUCAGGAGCCGGUUCUUGGCGAUUUGCAAUCGUAAAUCGAGUAAAUUGUUACUAGGGUGAGUGGACACGUGGCAGCCCCGAGGAGCAAGACUCGUUGAUUCUCAGCGAUUUGCAACAGUAAAUCGAGCAAGACUCACUGAGAGCUGGUUCUCUGGUUCUUGGCGAUUUGCAAUCGUAAAUCAAGUAAAUCGUUACUCGGGCGAGUGGACACGUGGCAAUGAUUUAGGCGAGUGGACACGUGGCAGUGAUUUAGUUCUUACCUUGCCCCCGUGUUUUCACACGCACACAAACAUCCUAUUCCACAGCUAUUUAUAGAGCAACAUAUUAUACUCGUCCUUCGAUGUGGGACUAAUAUAAGAGUUGAGGUAGUAAUAUAAUGUAUACAUUUAUUAUGGAUGGAAAAGCAUUAUGCAACGAUGUGGUGCAGUUGGUUAGCUC